CCCAUUUUCUACAAGUUGAUAUGAUUCUUUAGGGGUCAUAAUGAAAAGUCUAUACCAUACUUUGGUUAACAUUUCUCAAUGGUAGUG